AUUCAGAUGACUGGUUGGGUAAAAGUCCUUCAGCAAAAUUCUGUGCUCUUCGUGCCAGAUGUGUGGAGGAAUUGAUUUGCUCACUGUAAGCAAAAUAGCUGCUCUUGGUUGAAGGGCUUGGUCUGUGUAGAACAGCAGAUUUCUUGCCAGGUUUCUCCUUCCAGCUCUUCCUCCAAACUCUUCCUGUGCCAUCCACUGACGCCUUUCCAGCCCCCAGUCAU